rnacentral:misc_RNA from 1 species
CUGUUCGAGCGUCAUUGCAACCCUCAAGCUCUGCUUGGUAUUGGGUGCCACCACUGUGGUGCAUCUCAAAGGUAUGGGCAGUGGCAUUCAGCUUCUAGUGUAGUAAUUUUCUCGCUUUGGAGUAUGGGUGUCUGACUGCUAGAACCCCUAAUUUAUCAAAGGUUGACCUCGGAUCAGGUAGGGAUACCCGCUGAACUUAA